AAAAAAAAAACAACACUUUGAAAUCUCAAAAAUUGAUAAUACUACUUAAUACUGCUGUUUGCUGAUGGAUCAUGAGAGUGCAACUAUAUAUAAGAAUGAGACACAGGUCACGUGUCACUGUAACAGUAGUUGAAAAAUGGGAACGGGCAACCAUUAAAUACUUUGUGCAAAUUAUAGCACUUCAAGAGAGAUGUAAUUAAUAGAUUCAAAACUCAGAAUUUCUGAUAUGUCUAGUAUAUUUUAAGAUAAGUUAACAAAAUAAGGUGGUUGUUGAUUACUUUAGGCCUCAGGUGCAUCUGAAACCAAGAAAAAUUCCUCCUACCAAGAAAAAUCUUGUCCUACACCCUGUAGAGAAUUAUCUGUCUAAUAAUGAACACUGCUGCAUCUGGGAAUUCACGUUGGAAAAUAAAGAUAUGGACGGAAACCACUGAGAGAAUCACAAGUUAGAACACUAGACCUAACAUUUAUGGAGGCUAUCUCUUUUCAGGACCCUCCAACAGCCUUGCCUGCAAUAGCUACCUUAGACUCAAUAUUUCCUUUUCCAUUCGUUGACAGAGAAUUUGACGAAGGUUGUGAAAAUCUGAUAUCCCUUGCUUUCCUUUUCUCUUCUUCCAGUGUAUCUGUUUUAGAAGUUGGUGCAAAUCUCUCAAGUCGAGCUUUUUUCUUUGCUUCCUCAUCAGCAGUCACAGGAAGUCCAAACCUCUCUGCUCUAGCCUUCUUCUUCAGCUGCUCUGAAGUCUUUAAUUCAACCCCAGUGCCAAACCUUUCAGCUCGAGAAUUGCGUUUCUCUUCCUCAGACAACUGAACAGUGAUCCCAAAACGCUCAGCGCGGCGGAUCUUCUUCUCUGUGUCAGUGACUGGGGCUGUAUCUCCUGAACGCGAGCCAACCGCCGUGCCCUUGCCGCUCUUUGAAUCCUCGCCGUCCUUCUUAAGAGCGUCCGCAUCUGAAUUAACGAUGGAUGGGGAGAUGAUGGUGGAAUCCUCGAGACGAUCUGGCUUGGCGAGCGCAGGAGCUGUCGCGUCUAGGGUUUUGCUAGGAUUGUCUUGGAGAAGAGUGGUGCCGGUGGCGAGAUUCUCCGUGCCGGUUGUCAUUUCGAGAGAGAAGAUGAUAAUGGAGAGUGCGAGAGAGGUUGGCUGGGAAUGCGUGGGUGAUU
rnacentral:misc_RNA from 1 species